GGAGGCCUCCAGGCAGCUGGAGGCUGCUGCUCCAGAGGAAGCCGAGCUCACUUCUGGGAGUGGACGGCCCCAGCUUUUGAGAGCUCCAGCAUGCCAGCCACGCGGCCGCAAAACAGGGCCUCGGAGGAGCCAAACCUAAGCGCGGGUCUUCCAGCACCUCUUGCCUUCCCUCCUCUGCAGGGGGACAGCAGCAUCUGGGAUGGCACCUUUGGCCCAG
rnacentral:lncRNA from 1 species